CUGGGGACUCACGGGAGACCGCCGGGGUCAACUCGGAGGAAGGUGGGGACGACGUCAAGUCAUCAUGCCCCUUAUGUCUUGGGCUGCACACGUGCUACAAUGGCCGGUACAAUGAGCUGCGAUACCGCGAGGUGGAGCGAAUCUCAAAAAGCCGGUCUCAGUUCGGAUUGGGGUCUGCAACUCGACCCCAUGAAGUCGGAGUCGCUAGUAAUCGCAGAUCAGCAUUGCUGCGGUGAAUACGUUCCCGGGCCUUGUACACACCGCCCGUCACGUCACGAAAGUCGGUAACACCCGAAGCCGGUGGCCCAACCCCUUGUGGGAGGGAGCUGUCGAAGGUGGGACUGGCGAUUGGGACGAAGUCGUAACAAGGUAGCCGUACCGGAAGGUGCGGCUGGAUCACCUCCUUUCUA
rnacentral:rRNA from 1 species